UACGGGAGGGGCUAGUGUUAUUCGUAAGGACUGGGCGUAAAGGGUACGUAGGCGGUAUAUUAAGUUGUAAGUUAAACUUCAAAAGUAAUUUUGCAUCUGCUUGCAAUACUAUUAUACUAGAGUAAAAUAAAGGAUAAUGGAACUUCUUGUGUAACGAUAAAAUGUGAAAAUACUAGAAGGAACGCCAGAGGCGAAGGCGAUUAUCUUGAUUUGUACUGACGCUGAGGUACGAAAGCAUGGGGAGCAAACA
rnacentral:rRNA from 1 species